CCGUUUUUUGCAGCUACAUUUGAAACUCAAAUUCAACCCCAAAUCCAUGAAGAACCCUAAAAUUCGUCACCAAAAUUCCAGCUUGAAUCUUGAUGUUUAGGAAAUACACACACACAAUUGACUCUAAAGAGAGGCUGAUUAGUUGGUAGUAUGUAUGAUUUCUUUAUUCGCGAGAAGAAAGGGUGAAUAAGGAGCUGACAGUUCGAAUGAAAUGGAACCUGAAAUCCGAUGCUCCACUAGGCUUCCACAACAAAGGAACUAUGGCAUUUUGAAACAAAUAGAUAGUGGAAAAGUAAACUCCCCUCAGAUUUUUGACUCCAAAGAGGUUGAUUAAGAGUAUGCAACGUUGGAGACGCUGGGUGUGCAAUUGACAUGGAAUUGAAUCAAAUUCUUACAGAAAUAGAAUGAAUGCAAAGAAAAGUGUCUUCAUUAUUAGUGCCACAAAACAGGGCUGAUACAAUCGAUCACGUGCUUAUUCGUUAUGGACGUCUUGAUCAUUUGAUUUACAUAAAGGAAAAUUGCCUUCAUGAUUGGAGCCACUAUGUUAACAUUUUUCCCUGUAGUGUAAUAGGAAAAUUGGUGGCUUGUGUUCUAUGUAUAUUGAACCUAUAAAUGAAUGGAAUUUAAUUUAAUCCUUCAUGUGUUUAAGGAUUUAGUUUGAAAUGUUAAUCUUUUAUUGUGUUUUG